GCCCGGAUGGUGGAAUUGGUAGACACGCCAGGUUGAGGGCCUGGUGGCCGUUUUUGGCUGUGCAAGUUCGAGUCUUGUUCCGGGCA
rnacentral:tRNA from 1 species